GGUGGUGGAAUUGGUAGACACAAGGGAUUUAAAAUCCCUCGGCGUUCGCGCUGUGCCGGUUCAAGUCGGUAAUUAUCA
rnacentral:tRNA from 1 species